GGUAUGGCAUUUCAUUAUACACAGUGAAGUGGUAUUUCAUUGUGGUUUUGAUUUGUAGUACCCUAAUAAAUAACAGUGUCAAGAAUGUGCUUGUUGGCCAUUU